AUGAACGCUGGCGGCGUGCCUAAUACAUGCAAGUCGAGCGAACAGACGAGGAGCUUGCUCCUCUGACGUUAGCGGCGGACGGGUGAGUAACACGUGGAUAACCUACCUAUAAGACUGGGAUAACUUCGGGAAACCGGAGCUAAUACCGGAUAAUAUAUUGAACCGCAUGGUUCAAUAGUGAAAGACGGUUUUGCUGUCACUUAUAGAUGGAUCCGCGCCGCAUUAGCUAGUUGGUAAGGUAACGGCUUACCAAGGCAACGAUGCGUAGCCGACCUGAGAGGGUGAUCGGCCACACUGGAACUGAGACACGGUCCAGACUCCUACGGGAGGCAGCAGUAGGGAAUCUUCCGCAAUGGGCGAAAGCCUGACGGAGCAACGCCGCGUGAGUGAUGAAGGUCUUCGGAUCGUAAAACUCUGUUAUUAGGGAAGAACAAAUGUGUAAGUAACGAUGCACGUCUUGACGGUACCUAAUCAGAAAGCCACGGCGAACUACGU
rnacentral:rRNA from 1 species